CAAUAAGCAAAUAUUGGAAAUAGUAGAAGGGUGUAUAAGCUUUUCAGAGAGCCGAUGGUUGGUGGGAAUCGGCAGUUAUUGCCUUUGAACUCAUCCAAGAGCUACUCCCUGAACUGAUUAGUAAGGGAUGUCGGUUUCUACCGUUAUGAAGAUAGGCAGUGAUGGCUGCCGAAAAAUGAGUGGGUUAAUCUUAUAUGGAUUGAUCAAUUAGAGUGGUACCGCGAGUAAAGCCUCGUCUCUAUA
rnacentral:ncRNA from 1 species